rnacentral:misc_RNA from 1 species
ACAAGGUAGCCGUACCGGAAGGUGCGGCUGGAUCACCUCCUUUCUAAGGAGCACCACGAGAAACACUCCAAUUGGUGGGGUGUGAGCCGUGAGGGGUUCUCGUCUGUAGUGGACGAGGGCCGGGUGCACAACAACAGGCAAUCGCCAGACACACUAUUGGGCCCUGAGACAACACUCGGCCGACUUCGGUUGAAGUGGUGUCCCUCCAUCUUGGUGGUGGGGUGUGGUGUUUGAGUAUUGGAUAGUGGUUGCGAGCAUCUAAAUGAACGCGUCGCCGGCAACGGUUACGUGUUCGUUUUG